UAAUACGGAGGGUGCAAGCGUUAAUCGGAAUUACUGGGCGUAAAGCGCGCGUAGGCGGUUUGGUCAGUCAGAUGUGAAAGCCCCGGGCUCAACCUGGGAACUGCAUUUGAUACUGCCAAACUAGAGUGUGGGAGAGGUAAGUGGAAUUCCGGGUGUAGCGGUGAAAUGCGUAGAUAUCCGGAGGAACAUCAGUGGCGAAGGCGGCUUACUGGACCAACACUGACGCUGAGGUGCGAAAGCGUGGGUAGCAAACAGGAUUAGAUACCCUGGUAGUCCACGCCGUAAACGAUGUCAACUAGCCGUUGGACCUAUUUAAAGGUUUAGUGGCGCAGCUAACGCGAUAAGUUGACCGCCUGGGGAGUACGGCCGCAAGGUUA
rnacentral:rRNA from 1 species